rnacentral:rRNA from 1 species
UACGAAGGGGGCUAGCGUUGCUCGGAAUCACUGGGCGUAAAGGGCGCGUAGGCGGCGUUUUAAGUCGGAUGUGAAAUCCCCAGGCUUAACCUGGGAAUUGCAUCCGAUACUGGAUGGCUUGAAUCCGGGAGAGGGAUGCGGAAUUCCAGGUGUAGCGGUGAAAUGCGUAGAUAUCUGGAGGAACACCGGUGGCGAAGGCGGCAUCCUGGACCGGCAUUGACGCUGAGGAGCGAAAGCCAGGGGAGCAAACGGG